rnacentral:rRNA from 1 species
CGUAGGGCGCAAGCGUUGUCCGGAAUUAUUGGGCGUAAAGAGCUCGUAGGUGGCUUGUCGCGUCUGCCGUGAAAGCCCAUGGCUUAACUGUGGGUCUGCGGUGGAUACGGGCUGGCUAGAGGUAGGUAGGGGCAAGCGGAAUUCCUGGUGUAGCGGUGAAAUGCGCAGAUAUCAGGAGGAACACCGGUGGCGAAGGCGGCUUGCUGGGCCUUACCUGACGCUGAGGAGCGAAAGCGUGGGGAGCGAACAGGAUUAGAUACCCUGGUAGUCCACGCUGUAAACGUUGGGCGCUAGGUGUGGGGUCCUUCCACGGGUUCCGUGCCGUAGCUAACGCAUUAAGCGCCCCGCCUGGGGAGUACGGCCGCAAGGCUA